rnacentral:rRNA from 1 species
CCUACGGGAGGCAGCAGUGAGGAAUAUUGGUCAAUGGACGAGAGUCUGAACCAGCCAAGUAGCGUGAAGGAUGACUGCCCUAUGGGUUGUAAACUUCUUUUAUAAAGGAAUAAAACGAGGCACGUGUGCCUUUUUGCAUGUACUUUAUGAAUAAGGAUCGGCUAACUCCGUCCCAGCAGCCGCGGUAAUACGGAGGAUCCGAGCGUUAUCCGGAUUUUUUGGGUUUAAAGGGAGCGUAGAUGGGGUGUUAAGUCAGUUGUGAAAGUUUGCGGCUCAAACGUAAAAUUGCAAUUGAUACUGGCAGUCUUGAGUACAGUUGAGGUAGGCGGAAUUCGUGGUGUAGCGGUGAAAUGCUUAGAUAUCACGAAGAACCCCGAUUGCGAAGGCAGCUUACUAAACUGUGACUGACAUUGAUGCUCGAAAGUGUGGGUAUCAAACAGGAUUAGAUACCCGAGUAGUC